rnacentral:rRNA from 1 species
CUGCCUUGUACAGGGGGACAACAGCUGGAAACGGCUGCUAAUACCGCAUAAGCCUGCAGUACCGCAUGGUACAGCAGGAAAAACUCCGGUGGUACAGGAUGGGCCCGCGUCUGAUUAGUUAGUUGGCGGGGUAACGGCCCACCAAGACGACGAUCAGUAGCCGGCUUGAGAGAGUGGACGGCCACAUUGGGACUGAGACACGGCCCAAACUCCUACGGGAGGCAGCAGUGGGGAAUAUUGCACAAUGGGGGGAACCCUGAUGCAGCAACGCCGCGUGAGUGAAGAAGUAUUUCGGUAUGUAAAGCUCUAUCAGCAGGGAAGAAAAUGACGGUACCUGACUAAGAAGCUCCGGCUAAAUACGUGCCAGCAGCCGCGGUAAUACGUAUGGAGCAAGCGUUAUCCGGAUUUACUGGGUGUAAAGGGAGCGCAGGCGGUGCGGCAAGUCUGAUGUGAAAACCCGGGGCUCAACCCCGGGACUGCAUUGGAAACUGUCGGACUAGAGUGCCGGAGAGGUAAGUGGAAUUCCUAGUGUAGCGGUGAAAUGCGUAGAUAUUAGGAGGAACACCAGUGGCGAAGGCGGCUUACUGGACGGUAACUGACGCUGAGGCUCGAAAGCGUGGGGAGCAAACAGGAUUAGAUACCCUGGUAGUCCACGCCGUAAACGAUGA